CCGGCGGCAGAAGAAGAAACGGGGGAAAUUGCGCCAUUGCUCGGUCGUGCGUUAUUCGCGCGUGAACAGAGAGCGAUCGGAACCGCUGAACCGCGCUUCAAUGAUCAACUUCUGAAACAGAGACGAAGAGUUUGUGACAGCAGCCAUGAGGCGGACUAAAGCGGACGUGGAGCGCUACAUCUCUUCAGUUCAGAGCGCCUCUCCCUCGCAGAAAGCGAGGCCAGUCAAAGGAUUUCUGUUUGCUAAGCUAUACUUUGAGGCGAAGGAGUAUGAGCUGGCUAAAAGACAUGUUUCAGAGUAUCUGAGCGCCCAG